rnacentral:rRNA from 1 species
GACGGAGGGGGCAAGCGUUGUCCGGACUCACUGGGCGUAAAGGGCGCGUAGGCGGCGCCACAAGUCACUUGUGAAAACUCUGGGCUCAACUCAGAGCCUGCAAGCGAAACUGUGGUGCUGGAGUAUGGGAGAGGUGCGUGGAAUUCCCGGUGUAGCGGUGAAAUGCGUAGAUAUCGGAAGGAACGCCGGUGGCGAAAGCGGCGUGCUGGACCUCAUCUGACGCUGAGGCGCGAAAGCCAGGGGAGCAAACGGG